UUAGAAUCAGUAGAAAAAUAUUAAAAACCUGUGUUCUGUAGGACUUGAACCCAGGUCAACUGGGUUAUAUAUCGGAAUCCAAAACAAUACACCAUGAAAUGAUUCAUGUACCAAAAUCUUAUAUUUUCUAAUUGAAGGCACCAUACGAGCCUCCACGCUAAUCCUCAAAAACUACUUAUAAGUAACCAUUAGAUCUUAAUCCCGCGUCUAGAAUUAAAUGAGAUAUAGAAAAUAUUGCCAUCUUUAGCAAUAUGUACAUUUAAAAGUAAGAGAUGCAACCAGGCAAGGGUCCAUACAAACUACACUUGAAAGGAAACGUGCCAUAUACCCUGCCUUAUUAUUAAAAAGUAAAUCAGGUAAAAAAAGGAGUCUUCACGCUAUAAAAAUCACCAUGUUCAUCUAUGUACGUAAAGAUUUAAGCCUAUACGUACACAAAGGAUAGGUCCUGCCUUAUUAUAAAAAAGUAAAUAAGGUAUAAAAAAAGGAGUCCUCACGGUAUAAAAAUCUGGCCAUGUUCAACUACGUCAAAGUUACAAUAAAUCAGGUUCCUUCACCAUUUUGAAAACGAAGGCAAAAAAGGUACGUACGGAACAUGUGCCUUUUCCUCACGCUAAAAAAUGAGCGCACAAUUUCAAAAAAAAAAGAGCGCACACCCCAGUUUCCAACUAUAUGGAAUCCACGUGCAUGUCCGCUUGAAGAAAUAAAAAAAAUAUACGGAGUCCAGAUGCCUCACGUUAAAACUAAAAGCCUAUGUCUGAUUGAAUUUUUUUUUCAAUCCUCAUGUACAAAAAGAAGACCCUUUUUUCUUUUUGCAGAAAAAAAUAAGACGGACGUGCAUAAGUUUCUCCAUAUUGACUCCUACAUGUCAUCAUCGCCAAGGUUAUUGGUUAAACGUAUAAAAUCACCUAUUUGUGACGCAAGAAAUAAUAUAUGAAUAAAUUGUCAUGCAUCAAAAAGUAUCAAUGAACUUAAACCAGUAAGGAAAAUAAUUGAACAAAUAUCAAUGACUUUUUUAUGGUGGUUAGAAUAUCACUCUUUUCGUGCUAGGGGUUGGAAAAGAAGAUCGUCAAGUAUUUCAAACAGGGACAUCAACCAGAUUCAUUAAGCUUUGAAUUUUUAGAGGGUAAAAUAUAUUUAAGUAUUGUAUGAGAUACUCUAUCAUUUAAUUUGAUGUUAGAUAGACAUAUUAUAAAUUACAAACUGAAAUAAAUCCUAUUUUCUACCGGUCUUGAUAUGUCACAUGUUGGAAUUUUACCUCAAACAAAGAAUGCUCUAUGAGUAUCCAGUGUGAAGGGAGAAAGAAAAAUUUCAUGAAUAAGGUUUAUACACAUAUAUGUCACGGCUGGGAAACGCAUGGGCAAAUAAAUCUCUUAUCCUCCAAUUCUUUAGUUGUACUUUUAGUUCCUUUAGUCCUGGCGGUGUCAAUCUUAUAAACUGUCAAUCCAUCACAAGUAUUCUUUCAAAAUGUUGCAUUCCCAACACAAUAAGAUCAACCUUAAAUUAACAUCCCACGGUCUCAAUAGAAUAGGAAUUGCAAUUUACGCACGUCCGCUUCCUAGAGGUGUCUCGACAUAAAAGAAUUAUUCUAACAUGCUGGUAUGAAUAUCACGUCUAUUGAUACAAUAGGUAGGGUGGUAGGAUGCCACCGACCUAUAAUUUUUUUAACACAAUGCAAUCGAAGAUGCUCACAGAUACGAGCAUAACUCACCCUAUGAACGCACGCACUACACUCAACCCUAUGAGCUCCUCCGAGAGACUGAGAUGACACAUCAAGUUGAGAUUGAUGAAGUCGCCACAGACGCCUUCGUAGUCGACGGGAACAUCUCCUCCUACUAAACGCACAUUGCCAUAAGGCCUGGAAUAAAUGCAGAAAAUCAUGAGGUUGACACUGUUUAUUUGGGACGAAGAUGCGCCACUAGUCCAUAAAAUCAAAUAGAUUGCAUAGUUUAGGCCAACAACUCAGGAACUGAUGGGAUUUAAUAUGUAAACUCGUUAAUUUGAUUAAAUAAGGCCAAAACCGGAUAAGGAAAAAAAUGACAACAUGGAUGCCAUGUCAUCAUUUCUUUUUUUUGCGGGAAUGUCAUCAUUUCUUUGACCGCUCAUAAAUUAACUAUUUUUACCGGGAUCCAUUUCCAAAUUGGCCGAAGGCUUGGGAGUGAAAAAAUGUUUAAAAAACGUUGCAUUGCCUACGACUUGAACCAAGACCUUUUGGAUGUAGCAAUGCAUCACUCACCACCAGAUCAACAACCUGUUUCCACACUAACAUGCAGCCUGAUAUAUAUAGACAUAGAAUCAGUGGAAAAAUAAUUAAAAACUAGUGUUCUGUAGGACUUUAACCCUGGUCAACUGGGUUAGAAAUCGGCAUCCAAAACAAUACACCACGAAGUAAUUCAUGUACUAGUAUGCAGCCUAAUUUAUAUAUCCACACAGAAUCAUGUGAAACAUAUAUAUUCUGAUCAUGUAAGUGAUUCUGUAAUACUAUUCCGAUCCUACAAUCAGAAUAAUAUCCAAUACAAUAAGCUACGGGAGAAUGGCGCCUCCUUGUGCGUUCGCAUGUACGACAAAAGAUAGAUCGCGCAGGGCUACGCAGACGCACCGGUAUUGGGCAGAAAAGAUAUAGACAGGGAAAAAAUGGGAGCUCGUCUCGUCUCCACCUCUCCCCUACACGCCGCCUCCUCAUCUCCACCCCCCACCUCCUCUGGUGGCCUCGGCUCCUACCCGGCCGGCUCGUCGCAGCAGCAGGCCGCAGGAAGCUGCGGUGGUCGGCAGUGGAGAAGCAGCACCGGAUGACGACAGCGGACCAGAUCGGUGAGUGACAGGAGAGGACACGAUGGACGUCACGGGCAGAGCAGAGUGAACCCGGCGCGGGGACCGGGCGCCAUCUGGAGAACCGGUGGCCGGUGGUGCACGAUCUGGUAAUUUGGAGGCGAGGCAACAUCGUUGACCAGGACACCGUCGAAGAUCUCAUCAUGCCACUGGGAGAGGCGCUCGUCGGGGAUCCCCUCGAUUCGAUGGAUCCGCGAUGGAGGUGCUUAGAUUUUCAAGGUGCUCCCCCACUUCCCCUCACUCUAUCUAGGUUUUUGUACUGACGGUUGGCCCAGACGACAUCGCCGAGUACUUUCCGGCGACACGCGACGACCGACGACGGAGACGAGCGCGAUGAACAAAACAAAGCUAACUCGUGAUCGAUCACCCGCAGUGUAAAGCUAGCCAAGCUAGCAAUCGAUCCUUUGCUUUGAGAACGCACGUGAGACUAGCACAGGAGAGACACGCCGAGUUGUAUCGCACAGAAGGCUCGUGUCGUGCCUUUGGUUUGUAUUGAUUUGAUCUAUCAGCUCACGGUGGUGUUUACAAGGGGAUAGGUACAUAUAUAUACUAGAGAAUUAGGCCUAUACGUAACCUACUCAGUGAAUGUUCUGUAUCCUACACGGAUACGUGCGUACAUCACGUACGAGAGAAACCACGUCGGGUUUAACUCCAACACUGACGGCCUCUGGCUCCAGUAAGUAUCCGCUGAACCUCCGUCCGUGCAGCAUCGCAGGUCACCGGCACGAGCAAAGUGCCACCGAGCACUGCUCCUACAUACUUGCAGCUAGGACACAAUCCUUUUACAUGCCAGUACGUGGGCUGCAACAGCCAUCACUACUAUUGCCUCUCUCUGGCCUGCUCGUUAUUGGCCCAACGCAAGAUGCUCCCAUAUUUCUUCGUGGGAUACUACUUGCACUAGCAUCCAAUACACACGAGCUAGCCGCACGACCGGAUGCACUAUCUUCCAUUGACAUAAUCGCUGCGUACUUGUUCACCUCAACAUCAGCAUACUCUGAUUCGUGCUCUUCAGGUGCCACGUACACCGAAGUGACAUUCGUGUUUCUCAGAUCUGUAACAAGGCUGCUUCUCCACGGCCGAGCACACGCGGCAAUCGCUGCAUCCACUCCAGCGAAGUUAGCACUUAUGCCCGUAACAUCGAUGUAAGCUUCGGAAUCACCCCCCGCGUCCGCAGUAUCGACACGAGUUUCCGAACCAUGAUCUUGAGAGUGAAUCUUUUCUUCAGGGAGCGCGACAAUUUCCUUAGCCGACACUUGAAGAACUGGGUCCUCCUCGUCCACAAGUUCGCUCAUCAACAUCAUGUCACCAUCAUCUCCUUGCUGGGCCAUGAGCGCCUUCUGCGUCGGUGCUUCCUCGCAGUCAGCCUUGAAGUGACCGAGGAGGCCACAGUUAUAACACCUCAUUUUCUUGAUGUCAAACUUUCUCCUCGGUGGCGGUGCAGCCCCAUUGUCUGAGUCGUCAUCUGAGUCAGCGAAGUUCUUUCUCGUCGAGCGCUGCUUGCCCUUCUUCUUGCUGCUCCUUGUGGAUCCGCCUUGCUUUUCAAGGGCGAUCCACUGCGCCUUUGUGAGCAUCACAAGCUCGUCGUUCCUCUCGUCCCCAAGACUGUACCACAUCCACUCAUCAUGAGCCUUGUACCGUCCGACAAGAUCGUCGAUGGAGAGAGUCGCGAGAUCGACGCACUGCUCGAUUGCUGUGACAAUUUGCAGGUAGCGGGGAGGGGCCGCGCGCAAGAACCGCCGGACAACCGAGGUCUCCGUUAGGUUUUCUCCAAGCGCGCGAAUCCGAUUGACGAGAGUAGCUACCCGUGAAGCGAACGCAUCCACGGACUCAUCGUCGCCCAUGACCAAUGUCUCGUAGUUCCUUAGGAGAGUUUGGAGAUUGGCUUGCUUGACGCGGGUGUGUCCCUCGAACAUGAGUUUCAGCGUAUCCCACACCUCCUUCGCCGUUGCUUUGGCGAUCAGGUGCUGGAGGACAUCCAUCGGCAUCACCAAAUAAAUCGCCGACGCCGCCUGCCAAUCCUUCCGGUGCUCGGCUCCCUCCUUCUUGAACGCGUUGCCUCCUGGGUCGACCGCGUCCCAUAGCUCGUUGGCGCGGAGACCACACUCCAUGAGGGCCUUCCAGACCCCGAAAUUUUCGGGAUCAAAUCGUGGGUACGACGAACUCGCCGGAGCAGCAAAUACUUUAGCCGCAUCGGAGUACUCUGCCAGUUGCUUGUUCUUAUCGUCGUCCGCCAUAAUCCUCCGUUACUAGAAGACUAACCUUGCUCUGGAUACCAACUGUUGACCCAGACAACGUCGCCGAGUACUUUCCGGCGACACGCGACGACCGAUGACGGAGACGAGCGCGAUGAACAAAAACAAAGCUAACUCGGGAUCGAUCAGCCGCAGUGUAAAGCUAGCCAAGCUAGCAAUCGAUCCUUUGCUUUGACAAUGCACGUGAGACUAGCACAGGAGAGACACGCCGAGUUGUAUCGCACAAAAGGCUCGUGUCGUGCCUUUGGUUUGUAUUGAUUUGAUCUAUCAGCUCACGGUGGUGUUUACAAGGGGAUAGAUACAUAUAUAUAUACUAGAGGACUAGGCCUAUACGUAACCUACUCAGUGAAGGUUCUGUAUCCUACACGGAUACGUGCAUACAUCACGUAAGAGAGAAACCACGUCGGGUUUAACUCCAACACUGACGGCCUCUGGCUCCAGUAAGUAUCCGCUGAACCUCCGUCCUUGCAGCAUCGCAGGUCACCGGCACGAGCAAAGUGCCACCGAGCACUGCUCCUAUUAGAAGAAACAAUAUUGUUUGGUAUAUACAAUGGUUACCUGACAAGUUCAUCUUCCUCUUUGCAAAUAUUACAUGAUAAGUAAUGGGAUCACUAUCUUUAAUUCUUUCAUGGCAAUCAGGCUAAGUGCAUACCAGAGCGCACACCUCCGCCUUGGGAGUAAAAGGCGUGUGACAUGUGUUUUAGCUUCUAAUAGAAAAACCAAAUAGGUCUAUUUCGUUCUUUAGAUAAAUGUUUCUGAUUGUGUGUGCACGUUGCACACUUACAUCAUGACUGUGAAUGGAAAUCCACAAAGCAAAUGCAUUAAGACCCGAUGUUUUAAUUUAUAGGAUCGAGGCUUCUUCUGUCUGUAUGAAAGCAAAGCUGUAUCGAUAGCCAGUGGAAGGAGCGGGGCACAUGUACAUGAAGCUUGGAUGUAAUCUGCUUUAAACUAUUUUUAAGGGAAUGCAUUACAGCAUGCAGCAAGUUUAGGCCAAGAAAACUGGUAUUGCGGUUGGCCUGUUGCAUUUAUUUCUUGGGCUGGUGGAUGGAUAGGAAGUGGGAUUAUAUCGAUGGACCUAAUGUUAGGCCUACCAAUAGUUAAAUAUAUGCAUAGCUGCCUGGUUUAGCUAUGCUCCAAUUUUUGGCUUGCCCUGAUUGUUUAUAUUAUCUGUCUCAUAACUUAAUUGAUUUCCUGGUUCUCACCUAGGCAUCCCGAUUCUCUCAUCAAAUCCCUCCCUUUUGAUGUGUGAAAUCUGUAACUAGCUACUAGAGAUGUAUUACUAGAUGCUAUCACUAUGUUGAAGUUUUCUUAUAUUGUAAUGUUCUAACCACGAGUUGGGUCACUUCUGCCGGGCCUUCUUGUUGGUAAUAUACUGGUGCUUUUUGUGCUGGAUUAUUUGGUGUAGCAAGAAUGAUAGAGUUCUAUGCCGGAGAAAACAAUGGACAUGGAAAUAGCUGCCUUAUGAACCAAAACUGAAUACUGAAUAAGGAGUUUUGAGAGUUCAGAUCAGAUAGUAACAGAUCUGGCUGAGUACAUCUCACAAGUUUCAGAGAUCUCUGUUAAAGAAAGUGGAUACUUUAUCUGACGGUUUGUGGGGAUUGAAUCGGGAUUGGGUUUGGUCUACUGCAGAUGAGUCACAUGGUGACGCUCGAGGAUGUGGUGUCUGGCAGGGAUCGACACACUCUUUUCCGCCCAGUCUGGCCUGCCCAUGGUCGACGCCAAGGGCAGGUGCAUCGGGUCGUGUCCAAGAAGCACAAGGCCAGGGCAUCCAAUUGGGUCAGUGCUAUACUUCAUCUACCUAACCUGUACUACAUCCUGCAAUUACUUGCAGUUGCUACUUGCAACUCGUAUGCAUCUCUCUUACUAGGUAAAUGAAAUUUUAUUGUUGAAGAAGCAAAUAUUUUGCCAAGUAGAAACAUAUAGCCGAACAAGGUCCUAGAGCGGUGUUGCCAAGAAGCCGGAGCGGAGGCUGGGGAGGCCGGGGCUAGCGGUCACCGAACGGGACUUUUUUAAUUUCAGACCAUGUUUUAUUUUGAGUUGCUUUGAUCUAGCUGGACUUUUGGAAUCUAACUGUUCUCCAAAUUGUGCUUUUUGAUCAUUACAUUAAAUUUUGCAUCCCUGCUUUCAAAGUUGGGCCUUGUUCAUUGCAAAGAAAAGAAAUCUCUUGCACAGCCCUAAAUACAUCACAAGCAGACCGUAGGUUUGGUUAAUGAUGUCACAUGUUGUCUUGCUCUCUGCAUACUUUAGUUUUUAGAUGAAUUUGACUAAUUGUGCAUACACUUUAUUUAGCAACCCAUGUGGAUGUAUAUCCCAAUUCUCUCUAUUAUUUUGUAUGCUUUUCCGUCCUACAAAAUUGCAACUUAUGUUUCUUUUUGGGAAUAAUGUGUUGGUCUUAUACCAGGUAACCCAGUGAAACUGCUGCUUCCCAAUGAGUUCUUUGUUAUAGAAUGACCUUAUGGCAGCAGUACUAAAUAAUAAAAAAUGUGGUGCUGUUUGCCCGUCUCCGCCGUCCCUCACUCUUGCGUUUCUUUCAACUGGUAAGAUGUCCCCUUCUCCCUCUUAAUCCUUUUCUCAAUUAAUUUCUAAUUUGCAUUAUUGUCAAUUAAAUGCCUAUUGAUCUAACAAAUAAUGGUUUGAAAGUGAGUCAAUAAUCAAUAGAAUCAUCAGCACAAACAUUUUAAUGAAAAAUUUUAUGCUUGAUUAGCCUGCUAAAGAUAAAAGAAAAUAAAAAAUUUGUUCGGAGUGAGAGGUUUGAUUGCUUGCUUGGAACCUAACUCUUUUUUUAGGUAGUAGAGAUAAGCAUAUUUGCAACUUAUCUUCACUGAGGAAAUGUUGGCUUGUUCUCAUCACUGGACCUUGUCUUUAUAACUAUCCUGAAUUCUUGAAUUUGAUGGUGCUUGCAAUGGAAAUCCUGGGAAACCAGGCGCUGGUGUAAUAAUAAGGCGGUCGGAUGGAUCUAUGGUAUAUAUGUACGCCAACAGUUACUAUGCUGGUUUGUUUUGUUAGUGUUUAGUUACUUUAACUGAAGAUUGCUCAACUACGAGAGUGUUUGGGUAUUACAACGAAUAAUGGUGCUGAAUAUCAUGCAUUGCUAAGAAGGGAUUCGAAUAUGUUUGUGGUCAAAUCAAAAGAGGUCGAAUGGCAUCUGCUUUCAUCUUGUAUUAUUUUAUCAUCAUGGUCCUCAGUUUAUCCUCGCCAAGGGAAAGUUCUAUGCUGCAUCUGUUAACACAUUUAUAUAUAGGUUAAGGUAGCCCACAUCCUAUCAUUUUAUUUGGGCAAGGAAUAAUUGGAUAAAGGUCUUAAUUGUUAGGGCAUAGAAAAUCUGGUGAAACUAAUCAGAGCUCUUUGAAGAGUUUCUCCGGUUGCUGGAGGCUUUAUUAGCGCUCAGUUUUCUUAUCUUAGCAUAAGUAACACACUUAAAUUUCUGGAGCCGGUCCAAGAUCUCUGGUGUGCUAGGAAUGAUAACAUGGUUGACUUGUGCAAGAAACUUAAGGAAAUGAAGGGAAAUUUUCUACAGUUUCAAAUCAACCAUGUUUUCGGGGUACCUAUCCUAUCUUUUUAUUACCUUGUGAUCUGGUUCAAACUUACUUGUACCAGCCAGUUUGCGGAUCUAUUAUGAAAGGUUGGUGCAUGCUUUUGCUCUUGUACAAAAGCAUACACAUGACUGAAUGACUUGUGAUUUGGCUCGGUUCACACAUGAGAGUGCAAACUUUUUAUCCUUGUUUGGUUUAGCCUGAUUUGUGCUCUGCACAUAUAUUUCUAUGAACGUCACAGUGGGUGGAACGUUGUUGCUUGCCUUUAGUCGGCGCUGCCCGAUUUGGUUCUAUUUAGGUCGUUGUAGGAAUUAACUAGUGUACUUUCUUGUAAUCUAUGAUGAUGACAUGACUGUAGCAUAUAGAAUGGGUCUGGUUCAUGGAACUCGGGAGGGUACAAUUUUUGGUAUAUGAGCAUAACUAAGUUACUUAAUUAUGAUAAUGUUGUAGACAGGGACAACGGUGGGUGAGGCGGGAUAGAUGGCACUGGGUCGCAGUGGAGUGGUUAGGCGAGGAUGUCUCGGCAGGGGACAGCGACCAUCGCAUCCGCUGGUAUGUUCACCAUUAUCAUUUAUGUGUAAUCUCAAAAACGAAGAAAUGCAACCAGAUCUUGUAGGUUAUACCAGGUUCUGUAGCUAUUAUUAUAUCUGUAAUUGCUAGCUUUCAUGUAAUUUACCACCAUUUAAUUACUAUAUGUGAUAGAUAUUUCUCUACUUAUCUUUAUCUUAUAUGAUGUGUUGUUCUACCUACAUAUGUUUCAUUCAGAGUACCGUUAGUUCUUGUAUGCUUGCAUCUUGGAUUGCGUAGACAUGCAAAGUGUCAUUUAAAUUUCUGUUAUUAUAGUUGGGAGGGUUACUCCUCAUUCUGGAACACCCAGUCAGAUUGAUAGAUUUGAUAUAUGUAAACAUUGAUAACCUUAUCAGUACCUUUGCCACUAUCUCUCUAUUGUUUGUCUAUUCCUACAACCCGAUCAGCUUCAAAUACCUACUCUGACAGACAAUUCGCGGUAAACUCGAUUAUUAAUAUCCCUAUUCAUUGCAUUAAUUAUUUAUUUCUAGAGAUUUUUUCUCAUAGCUGUUAUAUUCUUUCUUCCCACAAAUUAAUAUUUUGUUUAAUGAUAUCAAGCAUUCUUAUCUGGCAGAUCAGGCUAGUGACGACGGCCAUCUGGAUGAGCAGCGGCAUGAUCUUUACAAUGAAGCACAAAGCUUGUCAGGCAUUCUUGAUAAAGAGUCGAUAUAUCUAACUAUCUUUGUGCCUGAUUAUACUGAAUGUUGUUCCCUUCCUUCCUUGACAUAUAGAUGGUUUUCUUUUAACAUCUCAUCUCUAUGUCAUGUGGUAGCUACCAUUGAUGAGGUUACAAAAUGGCGAAAAGAUGCAGAAUGAUAUUUCAGUGGCUGAAGUGCUAGAAGAACCAGGAAGUUACUAACAUCAAAAGGACAAGAGAGAAAGGGGAUCUCAAACGUGUAAAACCAUAUUACCCAGUUAGAGAUUCCUAGGAGUUUGUACUGUUUUUUUGAGAUUACAUUGUUGAGUGGUUUUUUUUCUUUCUAGGUGUAUGUCUCUACAAUUAUGCUCCUGUCUUUGCUCCAGCAACAUACUACUUUCAAUAGUAUUACAUAGUUAUCCAUUGACAUGUGUUAACCAGAUUAAAAAAGGUACUGAAAAGGUUGCCAACCUAACAGGCACCGCACAGGUUCCACUCAGGAGGCACGGCAGCACCGUGCCCCAACUGCUAGUUUAGAUCACAACGCGCCCUAUAUAGAGUGCGAGGAGAUCCUCCCGAACGGUGUGUCUGGCGCCAGACAAUAAUAAAACAGAAAAAAACGCAUCUUCUCCCCACGUCUCCCACACUCCACCCCGCAACCGCCCACACCCCUGCGAACCAACCUGUGGUUGGAUGGUUAGAGGGACUGUGGUAUCCCAAGCCCACCAGGGUUCAAGUCCUGGUACUCGCAUUUAUUCCUGGAUUUAUUUUAGGAUUUUCGGUGAUGUGCAUUCGGUGGGAGGACAUGUUCCCGUUGACAACGAAGUGGCUACGGUGACUUCGUAAAUUUCAAGAUGAUAUGCCGGCUCAGUCUUUCAAAAGGUGCUCAUAGGGGUAGGGUGUGCGUGUGUGCGUUCAUAGGGGUGAGUGUAUGCGCGUGUAUAUGAGCGCUUGCGUCUGUACUGUGUUAAAAAAACUGCCCACACCCCCAGAUCCCCCGCCGCUGGCCCCCUCCCCGACCCCCACGCCUCAUCCGCGCCCUCCCCGGACACCGACGCCGCCACGCUCACUCCCCAGAGACCCACGGCGCCAUGCCCCCUCCACGGAGACCCCCGCCGCCACGCGCACUCCUCGGAAACCCGAUGCGCUCCGCCGCAUCCUGCCGCCGCCUCACGCCUCCACCACCGGUCGCCGCUGCUCACCACGUCCCUCACCUCCGGUCAACCCCGCACUUCUACCCUCUGGUCAGCCUUCUCCCGCCCUCUGCCUUAAUCUUCUCCUUCUCUGCCUCCGGGGAACUCCCAGGAUCCUCCCACUAGUCGCUGCCUGGUUCCUCUUUGUGCGUGGCUGGAACGAGCACCUCCUUGCAUGACCCUCUGACCACCAUCGCGACCCACCCCUUCGAUCGCCGGUCUUGUUCUUCAAGCUCCUGGAUCCCGUCGAUGUCGUCGUCGGCAACCCCCUGUGCAGCGCGAAUGCAGGAUGUUUCCGAUGCCUGACGGUGCAGUUGCCGUCCGCAAGGUCCUCCUUGUCCUGUCGAUCCAUUGGUUCGAUCGAUCAAGUUCUGCUUGUCUGGGAAUUGAAGUUCACAUAGAGCAAGGGUUGAAAAAAUACAGAGAGUUUUUUCCUAUGAAGUUCAGAAAAAAUAUGCCUUGACACACUUUUUGUUCGUGCUAGCUCAUAUAACUAUUUUCUUCUUAUAUAUGUGCUCAGAUUUUCGUUUUGCAGAAGAAGGCAUGCUGAGUCUGGCUCUUCGACUGUAGAAUUAAGAUACAAUGAUUUGCUCAUGUCGCUGGCAAAAAUGGAUCCCCUGCAAAAGAGUUGUGCAUUGUGCAUCGAGGAGGGAUCUCAACCUCGCUUCAGAUUUUGUUUCUUCCAUACCCUACUUGUUUCCUUCAAAUGCGUGUGAAAGAACUGCCCUCGACCUGGCCAUUCUGUUGUGUGAUUUGGUCAAUAUUUCCAAUGAUUCAUCUGGUAUAGCUUUCUAUGAUUUUCCAAUCGUACUGUUCCAUGUUGGUUGUUGAGGUGCAAACAAGCAAAAGGUUCUUGUACAUCUAUAGGAAAAUUCACAUACUAGAAAAAGAGUGUGUUUUAUAAAUAAUGUCCACGAAGUUCACUUACUGUUAUCGAGGCAAAUCAUAUAGUUUUUGAACUGAGAGAAUGGUAACCUGAACAAAACAUAAAAACACGAAAAUACCAAUAAAAAUGAUUUUAAAAGACGGAGCAGUUCAAUGUAUAUAAAAAAACCUGGGUUUUCUCGCUACUAAUGAAUAAAACCAAGAAGUUCAAUUGGAAAAAGUGGAGCAGUUUGAUAUUUAUUUGAAAAAAUCAGAUUCUUCCAGUUACUAAAGAAUAAAACUGAUAAGUUCAAUUCAAAAUAACAAAGAAGUUCGAUGUUCUAGAAAAACUCCAACUUUGACAUUUCUAAACAUAGACAAUAAUGAAGUUUGAAUUAAAAAGGUAGAGCGGUUCAAUGCCUAUAAAACUCAGAUAUUUUCACGUCACAGAGAGAAAUUCAAAUUGAUAACUGCUAGAAGUUCACGUACUACACGGUGUGCAUUUUUUAUGAAUAAAAGAAUAAAAAGGCAAAGGCUAAAAGUUUUGUUGCAAGAAAUUCAAGUGCUUGGCCUGGGAAAGUUAAAAUAAUAAUUUGAGAGAGGUUCACCAUGUAUUUACAUGUUCAAAAACACACACAAAAAUAUGUUGUUUUGGUGUUUUAAAAUAAUUAUAUUAUUCUAUUAAAAAUUUGAAACAAAAAUGCUCUACCAUAAAAAAAAUUCUCUUUAUUCAACAACUUUCUAAAAGGGUAUAUCGUAUGAUCUACUCCAAUAUAAACGGUUAAAACAAAUUGGUGUAUGUUGUUUGAAACAAAAUUUUAAUCAUAUAAGGCAAAGUUGUGUCUUUUUAGAAGGUUUCAGAAAGGUGUAUCAUUUGUGCAACUCCGAUGAAUGGGUGAGGAAUUGUGAAUGAAAAUACGUGACAGAAGUUCAAUGUGAAAAUAACAAGGAGUUCAACUACUACACGGUAUGCGUUUCAUAUGAAAAUAAAAGAAUACAAAAGUAAUAGACCUAAAAGGUUUGUUGCAAGUAGUUCACGUGUUCCUACCUACACGAUUCAAAAAUUUAUAUUGUGAUGCAUCCGAGCUUUAAUUACGUGAUAAAAAAAGAGACAAAACAAUGUUGUUUUUCCAUUUUUAAAACUACUCUUAAAUGGAAACGAAUUUGUCAUGAAAAAUUUGCUCCUAUUCAUAAGCUUUCCAACUUUAUAUUAUAUGCUACAUUACGAAAAAAAAAGUUUCAUGUAUACCGUCUAAAGCACAUUUUUAUGUAUUCAGAAAAAAAUCUUUUAAAUCUUCGCGAGUAUGAAAAAAUAAUCAACACAUGAAAUUUUUGUGUUUUCAAUAGCUUUCCAUCGGUAUAUAAUUUUCUCAAUUCCGGUAAGUGGUUGGGAGUUACGGGCAAAAGACAGCACGCGAAAAAUGGAGUGAAGUUCCAACAGAACUGCCCCAGAAGUUCAACCUCUUCACGCAGUGCAUUUCCAGAGACUCUGUUUUCGCAAUUAAGGCAGAACACAUGAUCUCCCGUUUUAUAAAUUACUCAAAAACUGCUAGAAAUGAAAGAAACCUUUCUAUAUAAAAUUUUUCACAUUUUUCAUAGCUUUCGAGCGUACAUUAUUUGUCAUUCCGACAAAGUUCACGAAAAAUACGGCCAAAAAACGUUUUUAUUCAUUUUAGAUAUUACCAUAAAACCAUAAAGAAUUGGUAGAAACAUUCUAUAUCAAGCUUUCCAAUGCCAUAUUAUUUGCUACAUUCCGAUAAAGCAUUUAGAAAAUAAACCGAAAAUACAAACUCGGAGGAACUUCAACCGUUUUCUAAAUUACUUUUAAACCGUUCAAAAUUGGAACGAACUCUAUAUGAAAAAGAAGCGCAUUUUCAUAAGCUUUCCAACACCAUAUCAUUUGCACCAAUCAGAUUAACCAUUUUGGGAAAAAUCCGAAAAUACAAGCUCGGCUGUUCUGUUUGAAAUGUUUUUCCUUUUUUCAAAUCACUCUUGAACCGUAAGGAAUUUGGAAAACUUUCUAUAUGUAGAAUGAGCGGAUUGGAAGAAGCUUUCCAACGCAGUAUUAUUUGCCUCAUUCCGAUAAACGAUUUAGAAAUGAGCGGAUUGGCAGAAGCUUUCCAACUUUCUAUAUGGAAAAAACGGUUUGCAAAACUGCUCUUAAACUAUGUAGAUUUUGUCAAAACUUUAACAUAGGUUGUCACUGGGUGCAGUUCAACUACUACUACGGUGGGUCAGUUAAUUAUUAGAAUAUUAUCCUGACCCUCUGAUUAGAAUAGUGAUUAUGUGUGUGUGUAGUGGAUUUCAGAUAAUAUUAAUGAAGGAAAUAUGCCUAGAGGCAAUAAUAAAGAUGUUAUUUAUAUUUCCUUAUAUCAUGAUAAAUGUUUAUUAUUCAUGCUAGAAUUGUAUUAACCGGAAACUUAGUACAUGUGUGAAUACAUAGACAAACAGAGUGUCACUAGUAUGCCUCUACUUGACUAGUUCGUUGAAUCAAAGAUGGUUAUGUUUCCUAGCCAUAGACAUGAGUUGUCAUUUGAUUAACGGGAUCACAUCAUUGGAGAAUGGUGUGAUUGACUUGAACCAUUCCGUUAGCUUAGAAUUUGAUUGUUUAGUAUGUUGCUAUUGCUUUCUUCAUGACUUAUACAUGUUCCUAUGACUAUGAGAUUAUGCAACUCCCGAAUACCGGAGGAACACGUUGUAUGCUACCAAAUGUCACAACAUAAGUGGGUGAUUAUAAAGGUGCUCUACAGGUGUCUCCGAUGGUACUUGUUGAUUUGGCAUAGAUCAAGAUUAGGAUUUGUCACUCCGAUUGUCGGAGAGGUAUCUUUGGGCCCUCUCGGUAAUGCACAUCACUAUAAGCCUUGCAAGCAAUGUGACUAAUGAGUUAGUUGCGGGAUGAUGCAAUACGGAACGAGUAAAGAGACUUGCUGGUAACGAGAUUGAACUAGGUAUUGAGAUACCGACGAUCGAAUCUUGGGCAAGUAACGUUAACAUACCGAUAACAAAGGGAACAACGUAUGUUGUUAUGCUGUUUGACCGAUAAAGAUCUUCGUAGAAUAUGUAGGAACCAAUAUGAGCAUCCAGGUUCCGCUAUUGGUUAUUGACCGGAGAUAAGUCUCGGUCAUGUCUACAUAGUUCUCGAACCCGUAUGGUCCGCAUGCUUAACGUUAGGCGACGAUCGGUAUUAUGAGUUUAUAUGUUUUGAUGUACCGAAGGUAGUUCGGACUCCUGGAUAUGAUCACGGACAUGAUGAGGAGUCUCGAAAUGGUCGAGACAUAAAGAUCGAUAUAUUGGACGACUAUAUUUGGACAUCGAAAUGGUUCCGGAUGAGAUCGGGCAUAUACCGGAGUACCGGGAGGUUACCGGAACCCCACAGGAGGUAUAUGGGCCUUAUUGGGCCAUAGUGGGAGAGAGGAGAAGGGAGCAAAGGAGGGGGCGCGCCCCCAAGCCCAAUCCGAAUUGGGAGGGGGGCCGGACCCCCUUUCCUUCCGCCUUCCUCCCCCUUCCUUCCACUCGUAGUCCAACUAGGGAAGGGGGGAAUCCUACUCCCGGUGGGAGUAGGACUCCCCAUGGGGCGCGCCAUAGGACGGCCGGCCUCCCCCUCCUCCACUCCUUUAUAUACGGGGGAGGGGGGCACCCCAUAGACACACAAGUUGAUCCUUGAUCUCUUAGCCAUGUGCGGUGCCCCCUCCACCAUAAUCCACCUCAGUGAUAUCGUCGUAGUGCUUAGGCGAAGCCCUGCGGCGGUAGCUUCAUCAUCACCGUCAUCACGCCGUCGUGCUGACGAAGCUCUUCCCCGACACUCUACUGGAUCGUGAGUUCAUGGGACGUCACCGAGCCGAACAUGUGCAGAUCGCGGAGGUGCCUGUAACGCCCAGAUGCGGCUAUAUCUCCCACGUGUCGAGGCACGACUUAGAGGCAUAACCGCAUUGUGGUUUUGUCGCAAGAAGGUCAUCUUUACACAAUCCCAUGUAAUGAACAAGAAUUGGAUAACGAGAGUUGGCUUACAAUCGCCACUUCACACAAUACAUAAAUUAAUUCAUACAUCAUCCAAAAUCCACACUUAGACCGACUACGGUCAAAUCCAAAUGAAAAUAAGAUAACCCCAAAUGCUAGAUCCCCGAUCGUCCCAACUGGGCUCCACUACUGAUCAUCAGGAAAAGAAACAUAGUAACGACCACGUUCCUCGUCGAACUCCCACUUGAGCUCGGUUGCGUCACCUGCACUGGCAUCGUCGGCACCUGCAACUGUUUUGGUAGAAUCUGUGAGUCAUGAGGACUCAGCAAUCUCACACCCGCGAGAUCAAGACUACUUAAGCUUAUAGGAAAGGAUGGUGUAAAGAGGUGGAGCUGCAGCAGGCGCUAAGCAUAUAUGGUGGCUAACAUACGGAAAUGAGAGCGAGAAGAGAAGCAACGCAACGGUCGCGAAGCUAGAAAUGAUCAAGAAGUGAUCCUGAAACAACUUACGUUCAUGCAUAACUCAAACCGUGUUCACUUCUCGGACUCCGCCGAGAAGAGACCAUCACGGCUACACACACGGUUGAUGUAUUUUAAUUGGGUCAAGUGGCAAGUUCUUUACAACCGGACAUUAACAAAUUCCCAUCUACCUCAUAACCGCGGGCACGGCUUUUGAAAGAUAAUACCCUGCAGGGGUGUGCCAACUUAGCCCAUUAUAAGCUCUCACGGUCAACGAAGGAUAAACCUUCUCCCGGAAAGACCCGAUCAGUCUUGGAAUCCUGGUUUACAAGACAUUUCGACAAUGGUAAAACAAGACCAGCAAAGCCGCCCGAUGUGCCGACAAAUCCCGAUAGGAGCUGCACAUAUCUCGUUCUCAGGGCAACACCGGAUGAGACUAGCUACGAGUAAAACCAGUCCUCAAGUUUCCCCAAGGUGGCCCCGCAGGCAGCUCGAUUCAAACCAACACUCGAAGGAGCACUGGCCCGUGGGGGUCUAAAAUAAAGAUGAACCUUGGGCUCGCGAAAACCCAAGGGAAGUGUAGGUGGUAGGUGGUCAAAUGGUAAAACCAAGGUUGGGCCUUGCUGGAGGAGUUUUAUUCAAGGCGAACUGUCAAGGGGGUCCCAUAAAUCACCCAACUGCGUAAGGAACGCAAACUCAAGGAACAUAACACCGGUAUGACUGAAACUAGGGCGGCAAGAGUGGAACAAAACACCAGGCAUAAGGCCGAGCCUUCCACCCUUUACCAAAUAUAUAGAUGCAUUAAUUAAAUAAGAGAUAUUGUGAUAUUCCAAAAUAUCCAUGUUCCAACAUGGAACCAACUUCAACUUCACCUGCAACUAGCAACGCUAUAAGAAGGGCUGAGCAAAAGCGGUAACUUAGCCAAACAACGGUUUGCUAGGAAAGGAUGGUUAGAGGCUUGACAUGGAAAAUAUGGGAGGCAUGAUAUAGCAAAUGGUAGGUAGCGCAGCAUGGCAAUAGAACGAAUAACUAGCAAAGCAAAGAUAGAAGUGAUUUCGAGGGUAUGGUCAUCUUGCCUGAAAGGUUCUCAGAGUUGUCAAAAGCUUGAUCCUCGUAAGCGUACUCAACAGGUUCCUUGUUCACGAACUCGUCUCCCGGCUCUACCCAAAACUAGAACACAAGCAACGGAACCACAAUCAAUCACGGGAAAUGCACAAGCAACAUGAUGCAAAACAUGAAUGAUAUGCGAGAUAUGAUAUGCGAUGCAUAUGCGUGCUCCGAAAAAACGAAUGAACAAGGCAGUAACUUGGCAAACCAAGCAUGCCACUGAAAAGAUGAGAUGAUUUCGGUCAAAAUCGAUAUAAAGAUCACCGGAAACGGAUGCACGGUUUGCAAAUGGCAAGCAAAAUAAGAAUGACACGAUUCUGCGAUUAACAGCAUGAUAGCACUUAGAAUACAUCAAGAAACUAUGCUACAGCACUCCAACAUAGCAACAAAGCAUAUGGAAGUAAUCUACAGGAGAUGCUUGACAAAAGAUGAACACUGAGCUACGGCUAGAUCACACCAUAACAGGUUCAAACAAGGAUGGAAAAAGUGCAAAAGAUAACAUGUUCACAGACUUGGUGAAAUUACUGGACAUGGCAUAAACAGCAUCAGGUAGCAAUGUUCAGAGCAAGAAAAACACAUGAUACAGGAACUUAACAUAGCAAAACAAGGCAUGGAAUUAAUCUACUAAAUGCAUAGAACAAAAGUCCCUUAAUGACCAUAAGCCAAAAAGGAUCAGAAGAUAUGAUGGCAACCAUGUAAACAGAGCAUGGCAGUAACAGUAAUAUGAAGGCAUCUUUGUGAGCUUGAUUCACUCACCACAAAGCAAUGCAUGAAAAAACAAGCAUACCAGGAGAAGAGGGAGACGCGGCCGGAGAGGAGGCGCGUCGGGGCACGGGCGGCGGAGCUCGCCGUGGCGCNNNNNNNNNNNNNNNNNNNNNNNNNNNNNNNNNNNNNNNNNNNNNNNNNNNNNNNNNNNNNNNNNNNNNNNNNNNNNNNNNNNNNNNNNNNNNNNNNNNNNNNNNNNNNNNNNNNNNNNNNNNNNNNNNNNNNNNNNNNNNNNNNNNNNNNNNNNNNNNNNNNNNNNNNNNNNNNNNNNNNNNNNNNNNNNNNNNNNNNNNNNNNNNNNNNNNNNNNNNNNNNNNNNNNNNNNNNNNNNNNNNNNNNNNNNNNNNNNNNNNNNNNNNNNNNNNNNNNNNNNNNNNNNNNNNNNNNNNNNNNNNNNNNNNNNNNNNNNNNNNNNNNNNNNNNNNNNNNNNNNNNNNNNNNNNNNNNNNNNNNNNNNNNNNNNNNNNNNNNNNNNNNNNNNNNNNNNNNNNNNNNNNNNNNNNNNNNNNNNNNNNNNNNNNNNNNNNNNNNNNNNNNNNNNNNNNNNNNNNNNNGCCCGGGGCGGCGGCGGCUUUCGUCCGGCGGCGGUGGACUUGUCCGGUGGCGGCGGGGGCGAUUUGAUCUAGGGUUAGGAGUGGUUUUGCCUGCAAUUUCGGAGGGGGGUGUUUAUAUAGGCAUAGGGAGCUAGGAGACUCCAAAUGGAGUGCGGUUUUCGCCCACACAAUCAUGAUCGAACGACCUAGAGCAUGGAAGUGACUUAGGUGGGUUGUGGGCUGUUUGGAGGGGGGUUUUGCUGCAACACACAAAAGGACUUUGCGGUUACCCGGUUAACCGUUGGAGCAUCAAACGACCUCCAAAUGGAACGAAACUUGACAGGUGGUCUACCGGUGGUAUACCAAGGCCACUUGGCAAAUCUCGGCCCAUUCCGAGAACGUUUUUCUCCCGCUCACGAAACAAGGUCCGAGGGGGCCGACGGGCGCGUGUGGGAGUGUCGGAUCGCGAAACGGACAACGGGGAAAAGGACCGGAUGCAAGUUUUGAAAAACAUGCAGAUGAAAUGCAGAUGAUGACAUGGCAAAAUGCAACACGCAAGCAAAUGACAUGGCAACGACGGCAAAUAACUGGAGAACACCUGGCGCAUCGGAUCCGGGGCGUUACAGUGCCGUACCAUCGAUGCUAGGAUCGGUCGAUCGUGAAGACGUACGACUACAUCAACCGCGUUAUCAUAACGCUUCCGCUUACGGUCUACGAGGGUACGUAGACAACACUCUCCCCUCUCGUUGCUAUGCAUCACCAUGAUCUUGCGUGUGCGUAGGAAAACUGUUGAAAUUACUACGUUCCCCAACAAUUAAAGUGGUCCAUUGCCAAGCAAUGUUGCCAUGAUCGGCAAGUCACAGAAGACAAAUGAGGAGGGAAGGGAACGCGAUGAUCUAGCAACAAACAACAGUCAGCGCAAUAGAAGGAAACAAAUCGCGUGAUUGGAAAACAAUGAAGUGGGAUCUUCGGGUUUUUUUCUCAUGAUUCUACGUGAAUACAUACAAUUUGAGCCGCAUAUUAAUUUUUUGUCCAACGCCCUUCGCAUGGUUUGUGAUGAAGAACCCAGCCACUUUACAAAUAGACCCUUCUAAAAAUAGCUAAUUCAUGAGCGGUCAAGGAACGAUGACAUGGCAUCCACGUGGCUGGUUUUUUCCCCUCUCGGGCCGAUUUGAUCAACUUAACGAGUUUGUGGACUAAAUCUGAUAAUGUCAUGAGUUAUUGUCCUAAAAUGUGCAAUGGGUUCGAGUUUAUGGACCGGCGGCGCAUUUCACUCUUUAUUUGGACACUCAUACCGAAUGUGCAUAAACUUUCCAAUUGUAUACCAAUUCCCCCAAUAAUCAGGACAAAUAUUUGGUUCACGGUUCCCUUUACAUAUUGGGCAUCUCCUUGGCAUGCUUCCAAAGGAAUUGCCUAUGACUUGGUCUAGGCGACAAUCCAUUCUAACAUUCCUACUAGAACAUAAAGAUGUUGCCACACCCACCCAUCUCAAUGCUAGAAUAAUAUAAUUAUUUUAAAAUUGAACAAUACAAGUAUCUAACUUUCCAAUCAAAAUGCUUCAUUGUAGGUUCCAACUCGUCGUCAUGCCGGUUGCAGCACUGGGCACCUCUAGUUGUAGUUGUUAUGGCUCGCCGCCAUGUCCGAUUGCAACACUACGCGCCUCUGGUCCCAACUUAUGUUGUGUCGGCUAUAGAACUGAGCCCCUCCGAUUCUAGAUCCCCGUCGUGCUGGGCAUCUCACCAAACGCAUUUGGUCACACACUUUGCAAUCAUUGCUGUCAUGAGCACCAAACCCCUUUAGUCGCAUACUUUGCAAUCAUUGGUGUCAUGAGCUUACCUAACCACGGUCGAUGGGCUCACACGAAGUUCUAGCUCCACUCACAGCAUGGCUCUUGCUGCUUGCCCCAUGGGUGUUUGAUGUCCUUGGAGUGCCGCACAGCCGACCGACCACUUUGGAGGAGAAGCCGGAAAAAGGACAAGACGCUCCAUAAAAUCUGUCCAUUGAAGUUGGCAGCAUUACUCGAACACUGAUGUUCCAUCAAAUAAAUUGCGAGAGCCAAGGACAUGUUGCAGCCUUUCCUUUACAUAGAAAAAUGACACGACGGUGGAGGAGCGGUGGACAGAAGUAGUCCGGACGGAUGCGUUACUUCCAGGUCCAAAUAGUAGAGAAAAAACACGAGAGGCAAAAAAAGGCUAGCCUUAGGGCAUGUUCGGUACUCCUCCAGCUUCACCAAAUCCACAAAUCUGGCUUCUAUUUCCCGAUGAUGGCUUCUUCCAUGGAUUGCGAUUGAUGAAAAACCGUUCGGCACGCUCGCUCCAGCUUCUCGUACGUGCCAGCAGGCCAACCUGCUCAGACGGACUGGAGCCCAGCUAGGGGAGCUCCUGUUUGACGCUCGCUGCGUCAAACAGAGCGCUCCCCUAUUGGGCCGGCCCAUAUAGCAACCAAUGCACUGUAGCGAGCUGGGUCACUGCAGAGAGUAGGCUAAUGUAGCAGACGGGCUUUGUAUGUCCUGUAGCAGACGAGCUUUGUGUUUCCUGUAGCAACCGAGUUUUAGUGGUUCAAAAAUUUCAAGCUUUUUUAUAAAACGAAUAUUUUUUUAGAACGCAAACAAUUUUCAAAAUUUCUGAACAUUUUUGAAAUUCCAUACAUUUUUUCAAAUUGGGAACAUUUUUUGAGACAUAUAAACUGUUUUUUUAAAUCCAAACUUUUAUUAAAAUGCGAACUUCUUUUGAAACUCCCGAACAAAAAUUGAAACACAAACAUAUGUUUGGAAUUUGCGAACAAUUAUUUAAAUGGAAACAUUUUUUGAAUCUCCCAAAAAAUUUGAAAACAUGAACAUUUUUUGGAAAUUGGCGAACAAAUUUUGAAAAUGGGAAAUUUUUUUAAACUCCUAAACACAAUUUGAAAAGUUCAACUUUUUGAACCUAUGGAUUUGUUUCUAAAAGCGAACUUUUUUUUCAAAAAUGAAGAACAUUUUUUAGAAAAUGAAGAACAUUUUUUUGUAUUUGUGAACAAAUAUUAAUAACAAGAACAUUUUUUGAACUUCUAAACAUUUUUAGAAUUUUCGAAAAGAAUUUGAAAUUCGGGAGAACAAAAAGAAAAUAAAAAAAGAAGAAAAAGGAACUAAAAUGGAAUAAACAAACAGAAAAACGAAGAAAGAAACAGAAAAAGAAAAGGAAACAGAAAACUAGUGAAAAAACCGGGUCAAGAAGCUUCUAGAAGGUUCCCAAAACCGGUUAGGAACCUUCCAGAAUGUUCCAAAAACGGACACUGUAGCACGUGCGAAAUCUCGUAAUUGGGCCGGCCCAUCUUAAUCGCUAGCUCACUCGCCUUUGUGCGAAGCAGCGGCAACUUGAUGCAACGAGCGUCCAUUAGGAUCUUCCCCCAGCUAGCUCAACAGUUAAGGUGGCCUUAGGCCCAGCCGGACACAGGAGGAGAGUAGCUGGGCUUGGCCCAGUUCAGAGUGAAAGAUACUGAUGCCUCCACGUCAUCAGGAGAAUAUAACGAAGGUAGCGAACUGGUACGCAGCCAUCGAGUCACUUGGCGGCUCUGUUGGAAAAGGCAGUGCCUAGGAGGCGCUUAGACAUGCCUAGGCGCUAGGCAAUGGCCAAACGCCUCGCCUAGGUCAUAAGCAGAAGUCUAGGCAGAGCAAGUAAGAAAUUGUCUACCCAAACGAGAAGGCAUGCCAUAUUGCACUGAUAUGCCAAAAGGGCCAUAUUCCAAUCAUAGUAGCUGGUAGUUAACAUACUUAUAUGCCCUAAAUUAAUAAAAUACAUAUAAUAACCACAUAUACACCCUGAUAGUAAAAAUUAUAUAACCGUCUAGGCUGCGCUUAGGGCGCUUAAGCACCGCCUAGGCACUAGGCGAAGGCCAACCGCCUCGCUUACGCCUAUCGCGUUUUCCAACCUUGCUUGGCGGUGGCACUACUCGUAAUUUACGCCAACUCUCGGUUUCCUUUUUCCUGAAUCGCCAGAAACGCCGCUCCAGUUUUUUGUACGUGGACUGUCCUUCGAUCCAGGAAGCUAGCUUCCCUGAGCGGAACCGUUCGGCUCAGCUCCACCGCAGAUUUAGGCGGAUCUGGAAGCUGGAGGAGUACCGAACAGGCCCUUACUCCGUACUUUUGGUUCCCAAUACAAACGAGCUUGUGAGCAAGCCAUAUUUGAUUCAGAGUUAGUUCGAGUGGAAGGAAAUGAAUGAUUUGGUGUCUGUUUGAUUGGAAUGAAGACAAAAAAUAAAAAAUAUAAAUUUGACGCUAGUCCAUGCAGAAGAGAAAAAUUGCAUCCGUCGCAUUCGAAGGAUGGAAAAUAAACGAUCCAUUAGUCUUAGCGGAGGGAAAACACUUAUGUUGCUACAAAACUUUAGCCCCCAAGCACAUAAAGUUGAGCAAGGAAACCAACCCUCCGGCACAGAAUGAAAUAAAUACUUAACACUCCAUACAUCAGGUGUCACAGCGCCGAAGCAGCAUGAUGGAGAGACGGUGCGAAAAAACAGAGUUACAUUACUCUAUAGUCCCAGCGUCGCACAGCCUGACCACUAUGAUGAAGCGAAAAAAAGGGACAUGACACUCCAUGCAUUUAUCUAUUAAAGUAUGCGUCAUUACUCCAACAUAAAUGUCCAGUUGAAGAGAGUGCAAGUGAGAACGACAUAUUGCAACUUUUUCAUGUCAUAGAAAAAUGACCCGGCGGUGCUGGAGCAACUUGGCCCUCUAGAGGGAGGGAAGGGAUGUUGAGAAGUACUCCGGGCAGGUUCGUUUCUUUCAGGCUAGAGAAAAGACGACGUCACCCCAUAUGUUUGGCCCCAAACACACACGAGCUUGUGAGCAAAGAAAAAAUGAGUCGGAGUUAGUACGGGGGAUAGGAAUAAAUGGUUCAAUUUCUGUCCGAGUGGAAUGAAGAGGAAAAAAAUUUACAUUAGUCUAUGUGAAAGGGAAAAGUUUGCAUCCGUCCGAAUCGACCCUAACUCACAUGACGAGUUUAUAAGUAAGAGGAGAAAAGAUGUGCAUUGAUCCAAAUAGAAUCACUAAAAACGGCAUAACGAUGCAAAAACAAUUUUAAAAAAGUCCUGGCAUCGCACUGCCUGACCACUAUAGCGAAGCGGGAAUAAGGGGCAUGACAUUCCAUACAUUUGUCCAUUGAAGUGUGUGGCAUUACACUAACAUAGAUGUCCCAUCCAAGAGGGUAUGAGAUAGAACGUCAUAUUGCAGCUUUUCGUGUAAUAGAAAAAUGACUGUGCGGUUUAGGACCAACUUGGGCCUAUGGAGGGAGGGAAGGAGUGGAGAGAAGUACUCCGGGCGGAUUCGUUUCUUACAGGCUAGAGAAAAGAUGACGUCGCCAUAUACUUUUGUUGCCCAACACACACAAUCUUUUGAGCAAAUAAAUAAUGAGCCGGAGUUAGAACCAGCGGAAGGAAAUAAAUGGUUUGGUGCCGGUCGGAGUGGAACGAAGAGGAAAAAUAAAAAUCUUUAUUUACACUAGUCCGUGUGAAAGGAGAAAUUUGGAGGGAGGGAAGGAGUGGAGACAAGUACUCCGGGCGGAUUUGUUUCUUACAGGCUAGAGAAAAGAAGACGUCGCCAUAUACUUUUGUCGCCCAACACACACAAUCUUUUGAGCAAAUAAAUAAUGAGUCGGAGUUAGAACAAGCGGAAGGAAAUAAAUGGUUUGGUGCCGGUCGGAGUGGAACGAAGAGGAAAAAUAAAAAUCUUUAUUUACACUAGUCCGUGUGAAAGGGGAAAUUUGGAGCUCACACGAAUACUAUAUAAGUAAGAGAGAAAAGAUUUUCGUCGACUCAAAUAGAAUGAACCAAGGUAAAUGAAAAACAGCAUCAAGAUGCAAAAAAUACUUACAUCGCUCCGUACUUCUAGCCCCCAACAUGCACGAGUUAACAGCGACCUAGGGUUACAGGCUGCUGGGCCAAACCCGGCCAGAAGUACGUCACGACCGCUUUUUGCCUCGACAGGCCAGCAUAGCUAGUGCUAGCUUUGCGUCGUCGGCGAUACAUGGUUGAACGUCUCGCUAUUUAACCCGCGAGGUGUCUACCGAAACGAGCGGUGUGGUACUAAAAUACUACUGGCAGGCAGCGUCAGCGGUGCGCUCGUCUUCGGCCCACCGGUGGCUAAGCGCCCUGGUCUUCGCGUCUUCGGCCCACCGGCUAUGCUGGAACGGAUGGAUUUCGCAUAACGAGCACUGCGCGUGCGAGGUCUCCAACCAAGGAAUCAACAGUCUGAAGCCGUACGCAACCACCCUCAAAAAGAAAAAAAGAAGAAGCCGUACGCAACCCGGGAACCAGUUGAGCCAGCUAUCGCUAAUGUACUUUGAUCAUUUGAUGAAGUAGCAUAAUUAUGACACGUACAUAGUAACCAAGUUGAUUUCCCCUCAAAAAAGAAAAACAAGUUCUGUUCUGUACUAAAUGAAGCAGGUUCACCAAUUGAUGCUCUCGUCCGUCCGUCUAGUCUCCGUUGGCCUUAGAACCAUGGGGGCGCGGUGGAUCUCGGCCCUUGUCCAUAGGAUGGCUCCAUUUUUAGAUGGUUCUUUCCGUUUUGUUCGGGUUUCUGUCCUGUUAAGGAAGGCUAGACGGUGGGGGCUUCUUAAACAUGCAAUAAUUUUCUCCCUGCCUGGCCCCUUUCGAUUGUCGGAAUGUGUGUGGAGGUCUCCGGCGUAUCUCACAGGAUUCGUCUGAUGAUUGUCUUUGAUGGAUCUAUUCGGGUCCGGCCUUCGUUCGUUUUAUCUUCAUGUUGGAUCCUUCCGAUCUACGCAUCUUUUCAUCGGUGGUUGUUAAUGUUUUGGUGUGCUGGUCCUAUGAGGACUUAACACUGUUAAAAUAAAUCCGAGGCACUUCGUCGAUCAUCCGAGGAUCAAGCAAUCACACGAGCACGACACCGACAUUUGUUAACGAGAUUCACCGAUAUGGCUACAUCCCCGGGGCUUGACUAUGGGCGCUCCUCCCCGUGACACCGUCACAAUACCGCACACCGGCCACCCGGGCGCCGGCACACGCCGCCGGCUCCCCCUUGCGCGCCUGUGCUAUUAUGUUGGCAUAGAUAACAUCGUGUGUCUAGCCCCGCUAUAUAUGAGAGGCCUAGGAUACAAGUGUCCUACUAGGACACGACUCCAUAUCCUAUCUAAACACAAUACAACUCAGAGUCCAACUGUAACCUAACUUGUACACAAUAUUCGACACAACUCUAACAAACUCCACCUUGGCGAAUAUUCUCCACCACCUUGAAUUUGUCCAUGCGUCAAACUUCCAUGUACAUUGGACUUGAGCUUAUCCCAUGAGAACCGUUGCUACUCCAAAGACUCCAUAUGACUCCACCUGCAACAAGUAGUCCCUUAUUUUCUUGACCACAGUCAACACUCGAGCAAAAUUAAGUUCCUUGUUACUCCAGUUUGUGCUCCCAACUUCCAGAGUAUCAGUCCAACACCAUCACACACUGAUCAAUGACCUGCGUGAAAGUGAACAACUCACAUAUUGGGUGUUACACAUAAGAGUUACCUGAACUCAACAUCACCGCUCCUUUCUUGACCGCCUGCCUAAAACUUGAAGGAAUUUCACCAUUGCUUGUAGUCAUCCCGAGUCAAAUUCGCAGUUGUCUCACCACAUGUAUGACCACCCGAGCCCUGGCCCGUCUCCAUGUCCCCUGCAUACCGCACGCCUUGCCGCUAUUACCGCGUCGAGCCUCCGCUGUCCCGGUCGAAUCUAAAGGGUCGCGAACCCACAUCACUCAACCCCCACUGCAGAGUACCACCGAUCAUCACCGACCGAUGACGAGUUUCACGCUUCCAUCAGACCACUGGGCUCCAGUCCAAACUACGUGUCACUCGCUUUUCUCCAUUGGUGAAUAAGCUUUGAUUCCCUGGAUCCUUACAUCGCAGCCCCUCAAUCCAGCUCCACCUUCAACAUGACUCCAUGGUAGAUGAUCAGUCCACCCCGCGCCCCGUCGACUUCAAGCUCUCAUGUGCACCGUCUUGAAUCGACCCCGCACCAUAGUCUUGUUGAAGCCACACAAGCCUCGGGCCUGUGCCACGUGUUUCCACACCCAAAAGUCGGUCACCAUCGGCGUCACGCUCCAAUGUCGUCAUCGCCGAUCUCACCACCGUCUUCUGUACCAACCGACUUGCGUCGAUCCGUCAGACUAUCUAGUCCGACCCAGGCUCCCAAAUCAAUCCAUGAAUUUCCAUCCAUCACAUGAUAAUUCCGUCUCAGCUGACAUGACUUCCUGUAACGCCUUCAAGCAUCCAUGUUAUGCCAACAAAUCUUUCACCCUUGUCUGCCAUAACCCAAGGUUUUCAGUUCUGUUGAACUUCUCCACCUCAAACCUGAUACCCGAUGGCGCCAUGGUUCUUUGUAUGGCUGACCCUGUGAAAAAUAACCGAGCAGUCUUCCCGUGAUCCCCAAGUACACGAACGAAACCUCCGCGUACUACUAGCAAUCAAUGAACCAGUUGGUCUCCACGUGAAAGUGCUCCCUCGACUCAACUCCAAUACUAGUGCAAUUGCCUUGUCAGCACCUCCAGUUAAUUCCGAUGGACACAUUACCCUGGGCGGCGGCGGGAGGGGGUCAGGAGGGAGGGAGGGAGGGAGUCUAUGGACAGAGUUGUGGCUGCCUGAGCGAGAAAACAUGGCAAAGCCCACAAAAGCUUGUGUCUAGGGACAGUCCCACAGUCCAUCAUAUUCAUCAACCCUGCUGAAUUGAAUGAUUAAACAAUUUGUGUUCAUAUUCUUAUUAAGUGCCACUAAACAUCACAAACCAAAAGGAUAAAUGGAAGAUUAUAAUCUAGCACCUAGUAAAAUAUAUAUUGUCAUCAGCUGUGCAAAAGGUUAGUUCAUCGAUUAGCAUCAAGAAGUACAAAAGAAAGGUAUUUCCUUUCUGAUGAAGUCGAAUACACACCGAAAAAAUCAACAACAAAAUAUGCUUGGUAGUGCCAUUGAUUUCAUGAAACCAAUGGUCAAGCACCUCCAUACAAGGUUGGCACAGUAGGUACCAUAUAUAAGGGAGUGAAAUGUGGUUAAACAUGUCCUCACAGUACCAUUGACUAAAUCAUAUCUCUUGGAUCCUAUCAUUACUAGUAGAAUGCCCGUGCAUUGCUACAGGCUACAAUGCAUAUAAAUGCAUCAAACAAAUAAUUAAGCUAGUCUCUAUGGUCGAAGGUCAUUUCUUCCCCGUGUGUCCGAGCGUGUUCGGACAUCAAAGGGGUGUCUAGUGGGCUACCCAAUAUCCGACCGUCUCGAUGAUCUAGGUUCACCCAAAUCUAUCCCAUUGUGUGUGUGGGGGGGGGGAUGUGGUUGUCCGGAUUAUCCACCAAUUUAUUUCUGACAUGCGUUCCGAACAGAAAAGACCCCACCCCAUGACAGACCCUUCCCUUUUCUUGUUGAACCCUCCCCUCAUCGCUCGGUUUCCGCUGUGGCGGGUCUUGCUGGAGCCCUCUCCUUUAAAACUGGAAGACGCCCGCCUCACCUUCGCCAUGACGUCCUCUGUUCUUCACAUUGUACUUCCCAAUGGGCCGCGAAGGAGGAGUCCCCUGCCAACCGUUCUGCUCUCCUCCCUGACCACCUCCUCUCCCCCCUGUCCAUGCUGAUCCGCCACCGCCAUCAAGGGCUAGGAGGCGUGCGUUGCCCGUGACGCGGCCAAGCCAAGAAGACAAAUCUGAUGUCUUCCGAGCCAUUGACACUUUGUAACAUAAAGUUGAAUAUUGUGUUGGGGAACGUAGUAAUUUCAAAAAAAUUCCUACGCACACGCAAGAUCAUGGUGAUGCAUAGCAACGAGAGGGGAGAGUGUUGUCUACGUACCCUCGUAGACUGUAAGCGGAAGCGUUAUAUCAACGCGGUUGAUGUAGUCGAACGUCUUCACGAUCCGACCGAUUCAAGUACCGAAAGCACGGCACCUCCGAGUUCUGCACACGUUCGGCUCGGUGACGUCCUCGCCUUCUCGGUCCAGCAAGAGGGGCGAAGUAGUAGAUGAGUUUCGGCAGCACGACGGCGUGGUGACGGUGUUGGUGAAGAACAAUCUCCGCAGGGCUUCGACUAAGCACUACGAAAACUAUGACGGAGGAUAAACUAGACGGGACGGGGUUGCCGGCACACGGCUUGGUGUUUCUUGAUGUGUCUUGGGUGAUAGCCCUACCCCUCUAUUUAUAUGUUGAGCCUUGGGGUCGAAACAUGGAGUAAAAGCCUCCACAAAGUCGAUUUCACCCGAAAGGCAAGGGUCCUUCUCGGACUCCAGGGCCAGACGCCAGGGUUCCCGGCGUCUGGACCCAGACGCCAGGGACCCUGGCGUCUGGCCCCUGGACUCCGCAAAACUUCCCUUUGCACUUUCCAAAAACCUCGUGGGCUUUCUUCUUUGGCCCAGAUAAAGUGUUCUCGUGCCCAAACAUUACGGGAAACAUCCGGAACCCCUUCCGAUGGAUGCCGGAACCUUUCCGGAGAUCAAACACUACUAUCCACAUAUCAAUCUUUACUUCCGGACCAUUCCGGAGUUCCUCGUCAUAUCCGUGAUCUCAUCCAAAACUCCGAACAACAUUCGGUCACCAACAUACAUAACUCAUAGUAAUAUAUCGUCAAUGAACGUUAAGCGUGCGGACCCUACGGAUUCGAGAACUAUGUAGACAUGACCGAGACACCUCUCUGGUCAAUAACCAAUAGCGGGACCUGGAUGCCCAUAUUGGCUCCUACAUAUUCUACGAAGAUCUUUAUCGGUCAGACCGCAUAACAACAUACGUUGUUCCCUUUGUCAUCGGUAUGUUACUUGCCCGAGAUUCGAUCGUCGGUAUCUCAAUACCUAGUUCAAUCUCAUUGCCGGCAAGUCUCUUUACUCGUUCCGUAAUACAUCAGCCCGCAACUUACUCAUUAGUUGCAAUGCUUGCAAGGCUUAUAGUGAUGUGCAUUACCGAGUGGGCCCAGAGAUACCUCUCCAACAAUCGGAGUGACAAAUCCUAAUCUCGAAAUACGCCAACCCAACAAGUACCUUUGGAGACACCUGUAGAGCACCUUCAUAAUCACCCAGUUACGUUGUGACGUUUGGUAGCACACUAAGUGUUCCUCCGGUAAACGGGAGUUGCAUAAUCUCAUAGUCAUAGGAACAUGUAUAAGUCAUGAAGAUAGCAAUAGCAGAAUACUAAACGAUCGAGUGCUAAGCUAACGGAAUGGGUCAAGUCAAUCACAUCAUUCUCCUAAUGAUGUGAUCCCGUUAAUCAAAUGACAACUCAUGUCAAUGUCUAGGAAACUCAACCAUCUUUGAUUAACGAGCUAGUCAAGUAGAGGCAUACUAGUGACACUAUAUUUUUCUAUGUAUUCACACAUGUACUAAGUUUCCGGUUAAUACAAUUCUAGCAUGAAUAAUAAACAUUUAUCAUGAUAUAAGGAAAUAAAUAAUAACUUUAUUAUUUCCUCUAGGGCAUAUUUCCUUCAGUCUCCCACUUGCACUAGAGUCAAUAAUCUAGUUCACAUCACCAUGUGAUUUAACACCAAUAGUUCACAUCACCAUGUGAUUAACACCCAUAAUUCACAUCGUCAUGUGACCAACACCCAAAGGGUUUACUAGAGUCAAUAAUCUAGUUCACAUCGCUAUGUGAUUAACACCCAAAGAGUACAAAGGUGUGAUCAUGUUUUGCUUGUGAGAGAAGUUUAGUCAACGGGUCUGCCACAUUCAGAUCCGUAUGUAUUUUGCAAAUUUCUAUGUCAACAGUGCUCUGCACGGAGCUACUCUAGCUAAUUGCUCCCACUUUCAAUAUGUAUCCAGAUUGAGACUUAGAGUCAUCUGGAUCAGUGUCAAAACUUGCAUCGACGUAACCCUUUACGACGAACCUUUUUGUCACCUCCAUAAUCGAGAAACAUAUCCUUAUUCCACUAAGGAUAAUUUUGACCGCUGUCCAGUGAUCUAGUCCUAGAUCACUAUUGUACUCCCUUGCCAAAUCAGUGUAGGGUAUAUAAUAGAUCUGGUACACAGCAUGGCAUACUUUAUAGAACCUAUGGCUGAGUCAUAGGGAAUGACUUUCAUUCUCUUUCUAUCUUCUGCCGUGGUCGGGUUUUGAGUAUUACUCAAUUUCACACCUUGUAACAUAGGCAAGAACUCUUUCUUUUACUGUUCCAUUUUGAACUACUUCAAAAUCUUGUCAAGGUAUGCACUCAUUGAAAAAACUUAUCAAGCGUCUUGAUCUAUCUCUAUAGAUCUUGAUGCUCAAUAUGUAAGCAGCUUCACCGAGGUAUUUCUUUGAAAAACUCCUUUCAAACACUCCUUUAUGCUUUGCAGAAUAAUUCUACAUUAUUUCCGAUCAACAAUAUGUCAUUCACAUAUACUUAUCAGAAAUGCUAUAGUGCUCCCACUCACUUUCUUGUAAAUACAGGCUUCACCGCAAGUCUGUAUAAAACUAUAUGCUUUGAUCAACUUAUCAAAGCGUAUAUUCCAACUCCGAGAUGCUUGCACCAGUCCAUAGAUGGAUCGCUGGAGCUUGCAUAUUUUGUUAGCACCUUUAGGAUUGACAAAACCUUCUGGUUGAAUCAUAUACAACUCUUCUUUAAUAAAUCCAUUAAGGAAUGCAGUUUUGUUUAUCCAUUUGCCAGAUUUCAUAAAAUGCGGCAAUUGCUAACAUGAUUCGGACAGACUUAAGCAUAGAUACGAGUGAGAAACUCUCAUCGUAGUCAACACCUUGAACUUGUCGAAAACCUUUUGCGACAAUUCUAGCUUUGUAGAUAGUAACACCACUAUCAGCGCCUGUCUUCCUCUUGAACAUCCAUUUAUUUUCCAUGGCUUGGCGAUCAUCGGGCAAGUCAACCAAAGUCCAUACUUUGUUCUCAUACAUGGAUUCCAUCUCAGAUUUCAUGGCCUCAAACCAUUUCGCGGAAUCUGGGCUCAUCAUCGCUUCCUCAUAGUUCGUAGGUUCGUCAUGGUCAAGUAACAUGACCUCCAGAACAGGAUUACCGUACCACUCUGGUGUGGAUCUCACUCUGGUUGACCUACGAGGUUCGGUAGUAACUUGAUCUGAAGUUACAUGAUCAUCAUCAUUAGCUUCCUCACUAAUUGGUGUAGGAGUCACAAGAACAGAUUUCUGUGAUGAACUACUUUCCAAUAAGGGAGCAGGUACAAUUACCUCAUCAAGUUCUACUUUCCUCCCACUCACUUCUUUCGAGAGAAACUCCUUCUCUAGAAAGGAUCCAUUCUUAGCAACGAAUGUCUUGCCUUCGGAUCUGUGAUAGAAGGUGUACCCAACUGUCUCCUUUGGGUAUCCUAUGAAGACACAUUUCUCCGAUUUGGGUUGAGCUUAUCAGGAUGAAACUUUUUCACAUAAGCAUCGCAACCCCAAAUUUUAAGAAACGACAACUUUGGUUUCUUGCCAAACCACAGUGCAUAUGGUGUCGUCUCAACAGAUUUAGAUGUUGCCCUUUUUAACGUGAAUGCAGCUAUCUCUAAUGCAUAACCCCAAAACGAUAGUGGUAAAUUGGUAAGAAACAUCAUAGAUUGCACUAUAUCCAAUAAAGUACGGUUAUGACGUUUGGACACACCAUUAUGCUGUGGUGUUCCAGGUGGCAUGAAUUUUUGAAACUAUUCCACAUUGUUUUAAUUGAAGGCCAAACUCGUAACUCAAAUAUUUGUGUCUACGAUCAGAUUGUAGAAACUUUAUUUUCUUGUUACGAUGAUUCUCUACUUCACUCUGAAAUUCUUUGAACUUUUCAAAUGUUUCAGACUUAUGUUUCAUCAAGUAGAUAUACCCAUAUCUGCUCAAAACAUCUGUGAAGGUCAGAAAACAAUGAUACCCGCCGUGAGCCUCAACACUCAUUGGACCGCUUACAUCGGUAUGUAUUAUUUCCAACAAGUCAGUGGCUCGCUCGUUGUUCCGGAGAACGGAGUCUUAGUCAUCUUGCCCAUGAGGCAUGGUUCGCAAGCAUCAAGUGAUUCAUAAUAAAGUGAUUCCAAAAGCCCAUUAGCAUGGAGUUUCUUCAUGCGCUUUACACCAAUAUGACCUAUACGGCAGUGCCAUAAAUAAGUUGCACUAUCAUUAUUAACUUUGCGUCUUUUGACUUCAAUAAUAUGAAUAUGUGUAUCACUACAAUCGAGAUCCAACAAACCAUUUUCAUUGGGUGUAUGACCAUAGAAGGUUUUAUUCAUGUAAACAGAACAACAAUUAUUCUCUAAUUUAAAUGAAUAACUGUAUUGCAAUAAACAUGAUCAAAUCAUAUUCAUGCUCAACGCAAACACCAAAUAACAUUUAUUUGGGUUCAACACUAAUCCCGAAAGUAUAGGGAGUGUGCGAUGAUGAUCAUAUCAAUCUUGGAACUGCUUCCAACACAUAUCGUCACUUCACCCUUAACAAGUUUCUGUUCAUUCUGCAACUCCCGUUUCGAGUUACUACUCUUAGCAACUGAACUAGUAUCAAAUACCGUGGGGUUGCUAUAAACACUAGUAAAGUACACAUCAAUAGCAUGUAUAUCUAAUAUACCUUUGUUCACUUUGCCAGCCUUCUUAUCCGCCAAAUACUUGGGGCAGUUCUGCUUCCAGUGACUAGUCCCUUUGCAGUAGAAACACUUAGUCUCAGGCUUAGGUCCAGACUUGGGCUUCUUCACUUGAGCAGCAACUUGCUUGCCGUUCUUCUUGAAGUUCCCCUUCUUCCCUUUACCCUUUUUUGGAAACUAGUGGUCUUGUUAACCAUCAACACUUGAUGCUUUUCUUGAUUUCUACCUUCGUCGAUUUCAGCAUCACGAAGAGCUUGGGGAUCGUUUCCGUUAUCCCUUGCAUAUUAUAGUUCAUCACGAAGUUCUAGCAACUUGGUGAUAGUGACUAGAGAACUCUGUCAGUCACUAUUUUAUCUGAAGAUUAACUCCUACUUGAUUCAAGUGAUUGUAGUACUCAGACAAUCUGAGCACAUGCUUACUGGUUGAGCUAUUCUCCUCCAUCUUGUAGGCAAAGUAAUGUCAGAGGUCUCAUACCUCUCGACACGGGCAUGAGUAUGAAAUACCAAUUUCAACUCUUCGAACAUCUUAUAUGCUCUAUGGUGUUCAAAACAUUUUUGAAGUCCCGGUUCUAAGCCGUAAAGCAUGGUGCACUAAACUAUCAAGUAGUUAUCAUACCGAGCUUUGUCAAACGUUCAUAACGUCUGCAUCUGCUCCUGCAAUAGGUCUGUCACCUAGCGGUGCAUCAAGGACAUAAUUCUUCCGUGCAGCAAUGAGGAUAAUCCUCAGAUCACGGAUCCAAUCCGCAUCAUUGCUACUAACAUCUUUCAACUUAGUUUUUUCUAGGAACAUAUCAAAAAUAAAACAGGGGAGCUAAACGUGAGCUAUUGAUCUACAACAUAGAUAUGCUAAUACUACCAGGACUAAGUUCAUGAUAAAUUAAAGUUCAAUUAAUCAUAUUACUUAAGAACUCCCACUUAGAUAGACAUCCCUCUAAUCCUCUAAGUGAUCACGUGAUCCAAAUCAACUAAACCAUGUCUGAUCAUCACGUGAGAUGGAGUAGUUUCAAUGGUGAACAUCACUAUGUUCAUAUCUACUAUAUGAUUCACGCUCGACCUUUCGGUCUCAGUGUUCCGAGGCCAUAUCUGCAUAUGCUAGGCUUGUCAAGUUUAACCAGAGUAUUCCGCGUGUGCAACUGUUUUGCACCCGUUGUAUUUGAACGUAGAGCCUAUCACACCCGAUCAUCACGUGGUGUCUCAGCACGAAGAACUUUCGCAACGGUGCAUACUCAGGGAGAACACUUAUACCUUGAUAAUUUAGUGAGAGAUCAUCUUAUAAUGCUACCGUCAAUCAAAGCAAGAUAAGAUGCAUAAAAUAUAAACAUCGCAUGAAAUCAAUAUAAGUGAUAUGUAUGGCCAUCAUCAUCUUGUGCUUGUGAUCUCCAUCUCCGAAACACCGUCAUGAUCACCAUCGUCACCAGCGCGACACCUUGAUCUCCAUCGUAGCGUUGAUGUCGUCUCGCCAACUAUUGCUUCUACGACUAUCGCUACCGCUUAGUGAUAAAGUAAUGCAAUUACAGGGCGAUUGCAUUGCAUACAAUAAAGCGACAACCAUAUGGCUCCUGCCAGUUGCCGAUAACUUGGUUACAAAACAUGAUCAUCUCAUACAAUAAAAUAUAGCAUCAUGCCUUGACCAUAUCACAUCACAAUAUGCCCUGCAAAAACAAGUUAGACGUCCUCUACUUUGUUGUUGCAAGUUUUACGUGGCUGCUACAGGCUUAGCAAGAACCGUUCUUACCUACGUAUCAAAACCACAACGAUAAUUCGUCACGUUAGUGCCGUUUUAACCUUCUCAAGGACCGGGCAAAGCCACACUCGGUUCAACUAAAGUUGGAGAAACCGACACCCGCCAGCCACCUGUGUGCAAAGCACGUCGGUAGAACCAGUCUCGCGUAAGCGUACGCGUAAUGUCGGUCCGGGCCGCUUCAUCCAACAAUACCGCCGAACCAAAGUAUGACAUGCCGGUAAGCAGUAUGACUUGUAUCACCCACAACUCACUUGUGUUCUACUCGUGCAUAUAACAUCAACGCCUAAAACCAGGCUCGGAUGCCACUGUUGGGGAACGUAGUAAUUUCAAAAUUUCCUACGCACACGCAAGAUCAUGGUGAUGCAUAGCAACGAGAGGGGAGAGUGUUUUCUACGUACCCUCGUAGACCGUAAGCAGAAGCAUUAUAUCAACGCGGUUGAUGUAGUCGAACGUCUUCACGAUCCGACCGAUCCAAGUACCGAAAGCAUGGCACCUCUGAGUUCUGCACACGUUCGGCUCGGUGACGUCCUCGCCUUCUCGAUCCAGCAAGAGGGGGCGAAGUAGUAGAUGAGUUCCGGCAGCACGACGGCGUGGUGACGGUGUUGGUGAAGAACAAUCUUCGCAGGGCUUCGCCUAAGCACUACGAAAACUAUGACGGAGGAUAAACUAGAGGGGCGGGGUUGCCGGCACACGGCUUGGUGUUUCUUGAUGUGUCUUGGGUGAUAGCCCUACCCCUCUAUUUAUAUGUUGAGCCUUGGGGUCGAAACUUGGAGUAAAAGCCUCCACAAAGUCGGUUUCACCCGAAAGGCAAGAGUCCUUCUCGGACUCCAGGGCCUGACGCCAGGGUUCCCGGCGUCUGGACCAGACGCCAGGGACCCUGGCGUCUGGCCCCUGGACUCCGCAAAACUUCCUUUUGCGCUUUCCAAACACCUCGUGGGCUUUCCCCUGUGGCCCAGAUAAAGUGUUCUCGUGCCCAAACAUUUCGGGAAACAUCCGGAACCCCUUUCCGGAGAUCAAACACUACUAUCCACAUAUCAAUCUUUACUUCCGGACCAUUCCGGAGUUCCUCGUCAUAUCCGUGAUCUCAUCCAAAACUCCGAACAACAUUCGGUCACCAACAUACAUAACUCAUAGUACUAUAUCAUCAACAAACGUUAAGCGUGCGGACCCUACGGGUUCGAGAACUAUGUAGACAUGACCGAUACACCUCUCUGGUCAAUAACCAAUAGCGGGACCUGCAUGCCCAUAUUGGCUCCUACAUAUUCUACGGAGAUCUUUAUCGGUCAGACCGCAUAACAACAUACGUUGUUCCCUUUGUCAUCGGUAUGUUACUUACCCGAGAUUCGAUCGUCGGUAUCUCAAUACAUCAUCCCGCAACUAACUCAUUAGUUGCCAUGCUUGCAAGGCUUAUAGUGAUGUGCAUUACCGAGUGGGCCCAGAGAUACCUCUCCGACAAUCGGAGUGACAAAUCCUAAUCUCGAAAUACGCAAACCCAACAAGUACCUUUGGAGACACCUGUAGAGCACCUUUAUAAUCACCCAGUUACGUUGUGACGUUUGGUAGCACACAAAGUGUUCCUCCGGUAAACGGGAGUUGCAUAAUCUCAUAGUCAUAGGAACAUGUAUAAGUCAUGAAGAAAGCAAUAGCAGAAUACUAAACGAUCGAGUGCUAAGCUAACGGAAUGGGUCAAGUCAAUCACAUCAUUCUCCUAAUGAUGUGAUCCCGUUAAUCAAAUGACAACUCAUGUCAAUGGCUAGGAAACUCAACCAUCUUUGAUUAACGAGCUAGUCAAGUAGAGGCAUACUAGUGACACUAUGUUUGUCUAUGUAUUCACACAUGUACUAAGUUUCCGGUUAAUACAAUUCUAGCAUGAAUAAUAAACAUUUAUCAUGAUAUAAGGAAAUAAAUAAUAACUUUUUUAUUGCCUCUAGUGCAUAUUUCCUUCAUAUUGUGCAUUACCACGAAACAAAAAUAUGAUGUCCGUUGUUGGGCAUGCAAAUUAUACACCACCAUGUGUUUUAUUAGCUCCUGAAGCAACAAAUAAAUGCAUUUACCCUCCUAUCUUAACCAAAAAUUUGUAUGACUUGAAGAAAAAAAAAUAUGAACCACUCGCUCAUGCAAUUUCUGCAAAGCCAUCUCUAAUAAAAUGUAAUUUGGCACAUUUUUUUAAAGUAGGAAACUUAUUUUGCUCAGAGCUGUAACUAAACAGGCCAACCCCAACCCCCAUCUCUCUUACUAUCGAUCCUCACUCUUAUCACAAAAUGCACUACUAAGCGAGCCAAUGAUCAACGCCGCCAUGGCAGGUCAGCAACAAGGGACAAGGGCGGCAACUGCCUUCCCUUCUUAGUUCUAGUACCUCCUUUCCAUCAAAUCAAAUUUAAGGUAUUUAUAAAACAUUAUGCACUAAGGACUUAGGAGUAAUAUAAUUAGAUCCACCCCUCUCUUUCUGUCUCAUAUCUCUGAAUUUAAAUAUAUAACCAUUUAAAUAUUGACUCUCUCUCUCUCACUCUCUCUCUCUCUCUCUCUAGCUAGAUAGAUAGAUAGAUAGAUAACACUCAACAUUAAAUCUGUUGAUUGUAAGAGGAAGAAUGAGUCUGCUGUAGUGAGUACUGACACAGAAGAUUCCACUGAGGUCUCUCCGGAUCUUCUAGGACAAAUGCUUGUGAUGCUUGAUGAAGAUGUUGUAUUUAAGAAGUCUAAAAGGACCACCUGGGCUGGUCAUAUUCUAGAGUGGUAUAAGAAUUUGGGGAAUUUUAGAAUUUGCCCCAUGUUCUAUAUGUUUUCGACAUAGUACAAUCGAAGAUGCUCACAUACACGAGCAUACACUUACCCCUCUGAACGCACACACCACACCCAACCCUAUGAGCUCCUUCGCGAGACUAAGAUGGCACAUCAUCUUGAGAUUCAUGAAGUCACCACAGACGCCUUCAUAGUCAAGGGGAACGCCUCCUCUCACUGAAUGCACAUUGCCGGAAGGCCUCGAGUAAAUCCAAAAAAUCAUGGGGUUCACACUGUUUAUUUGGGACUAAAGUACGCCACUAGUCCAUAAACUCAAACAGAUUGCAUAGUUUAGGCCAACAACUCGGGAACUGAUCAGACUUAGUAUGUAAACUCGUUAAUUUGGUUAAAUAAGGCCAAAACCGGCUGAGCGGAAAAAAUGACCACAUCAAUGCCAUGUCAUCAUUUCUUUCACCGCUCAUAAAUUAACUAUUUGUUGGGCAUCUAUUUGCAAAUUGGUUUCGUUUUUUUUUCUCACAAACCAUGCUAAAGGCGUGGGAGCGAAAAAAUAUUAAAAAAACAUUGCAUUGCCUAUGACUUAAACCAACAACCUGUUUCCACCAGAACUGACCACCAGAACAACAACCUGUUUCCACACUAACAUGCAGACCGAUAUAUAUAGACAUACAUAUAUACACUCUUAGAAUCAGUAGAAAAAUAUUAAAAACCUGUGUUCUGUAGGACUUGAACCCAGGUCAACUAGGUUAUAUAUCGGAAUCCAAAACAAUACACCAUGAAAUGAUUCAUGUACCAAAAUCUUAUAUUUACUAAUUGAAGGCACCAUACAAGCCUCCACGCUAAUCCUAAAAAACUACUUAUAAGUAACCAUUAGAUCUUAAUCCCGCGUCUAGAAUUAAAUGAGAUAUAGAAACUAUUGCCAUCUUUAGCAAUAUGUACAUUUAAAAGUAAGAGAUGCAACCAGGCAAGGGUCCAUACAUACUACACUUGAAAGGAAACGUGCCAUAUACCCAGCCUUAUUAUUAAAAAGUAAAUCAGGUAAACAAAGGAGUCUUCACGCUAUAAAAAUCACCAUGUUCAUCUAUGUACGUAAAGAUUUAAGCCUAUACGUACACAAAGGAUAGGUCCUGCCUUAUUAUAAAAAAGUAAAUAAGGUAAAAAAAGGAGUCCUCACGGUAUAAAAAUCUGGCCAUGUUCAACUACGUCAAAGUUACAAUAAAUCAGGUGCCUUCACCAUUUUGAAAACGAAGGCAAAAAAGGUACGUACGGAACAUGUGCCUUUUCCUCACGCUAAAAAAUGAGCGCACAAUUUCAAAAAAAAAAAA
rnacentral:lncRNA from 1 species